AGAGUUUGAUCAUGGCUCAGGACGAACGCUGGCGGCACGCUUAACACAUGCAUGUCGAACGAGAGAAGAGGAGCUUGCUUUUCUGAUCUAGUGGCGGACGGGUGAGUAACACGUGAGCAAUCUGCCUUUCAGAGGGGGAUACCGAUUGGAAACGAUCGUUAAUACCGCAUAACAUAAUUGAACCGCAUGAUUUGAUUAUCAAAGAUUUAUCGCUGAAAGAUGAGCUCGCGUCUGAUUAGCUAGUUGGUAAGGUAACGGCUUACCAAGGCGACGAUCAGUAGCCGGACUGAGAGGUUGAUCGGCCACAUUGGGACUGAGACACGGCCCAGACUCCUACGGGAGGCAGCAGUGGGGAAUAUUGCACAAUGGAGGAAACUCUGAUGCAGCGAUGCCGCGUGAGGGAAGAAGGUUUUAGGAUUGUAAACCUCUGUCUUCAGGGACGAAAAAAGACGGUACCUGAGGAGGAAGCUCCGGCUAACUACGUGCCAGCAGCCGCGGUAAUACGUAGGGAGCGAGCGUUGUCCGGAAUUACUGGGUGUAAAGGGAGCGUAGGCGGGAUCGCAAGUCAGAUGUGAAAACUAUGGGCUUAACCCAUAAACUGCAUUUGAAACUGUGGUUCUUGAGUGAAGUAGAGGUAAGCGGAAUUCCUAGUGUAGCGGUGAAAUGCGUAGAUAUUAGGAGGAACAUCAGUGGCGAAGGCGGCUUACUGGGCUUUAACUGACGCUGAGGCUCGAAAGCGUGGGGAGCAAACAGGAUUAGAUACCCUGGUAGUCCACGCCGUAAACGAUGAUUACUAGGUGUGGGGGGACUGACCCCUUCCGUGCCGCAGCAAACGCAAUAAGUAAUCCACCUGGGGAGUACGACCGCAAGGUUGAAACUCAAAGGAAUUGACGGGGGCCCGCACAAGCAGUGGAGUAUGUGGAUUAAUUCGAAGCAACGCGAAGAACCUUACCAGGUCUUGACAUCGUAUGCAUAGCUCAGAGAUGAGUGAAAUCUCUUCGGAGACAUAUAGACAGGUGGUGCAUGGUUGUCGUCAGCUCGUGUCGUGAGAUGUUGGGUUAAGUCCCGCAACGAGCGCAACCCUUACUGUUAGUUGCUACGCAAGAGCACUCUAGCAGGACUGCCGUUGACAAAACGGAGGAAGGUGGGGAUGACGUCAAAUCAUCAUGCCCCUUAUGACCUGGGCCUCACACGUACUACAAUGGCUGUCAACAGAGGGAAGCAAAGCCGCGAGGUGGAGCGAACCCCUAAAAGCAGUCUUAGUUCGGAUUGUAGGCUGCAACCCGCCUACAUGAAGUCGGAAUUGCUAGUAAUCGCAGAUCAGCAUGCUGCGGUGAAUACGUUCCCGGGCCUUGUACACACCGCCCGUCACGCCAUGGGAGUCGGUAACACCCGAAGCCUGUAGUCUAACCGCAAGGAGGACGCAGUCGAAGGUAGGAUUGAUGACUGGGGUGAAGUCGUAACAAGGUA
rnacentral:rRNA from 1 species